GGGGUGGCCGGGGUCGGGGUGAAGAUGGGGCUUGGGAUGGGGUUGGGUGUGGCCUGGGUCGGGGUGAAGAUGGGAUUUGGGAUGGGGCUGGGGGGUGGCCUGGUUCGGGGUGAAGAUGGGGCUUGGGAUGGGGUUGAGGGUCGCCUGGGUCGGGGCGAAGGUGGGACUUGGGAUGGAGAGACGUUUAUAACGGCAUACUUGAUCUCUUCGACACUAUCUUUACCAACCUUGAGGGAGAAGGCCUCCUCGAUCCUGAAAACAACUUAAUGAGGCCCCAGGGGCCGCGGGGUUGGGGGUGGCCUGGGUUGGGGUGAAGAUUGGGCUUGGGAUGAGGUUGGGGGUGGCCUGGGAUGGUAUGUGCAUGGCCUGACUAAAAUGGGGGGCUCUUCAGAUUCCUUUUCACACGCAUGCUCCAACUUUGCGUUGACUGGGAAGCGAGUGAGCCUUGACACAGGCCUGCAAGCAACCUGGGAUCGGCCCUUAGUGGGGGACAAAUGUGCAGGUUUGGGGGUUCUAGCGACCACGGGUUGAUCCUCAGUCGAUAACCGGGCCAUUGUGGAGACGGGGGGGAAACGCAUGGGCUCGGCUCCAAACUCACUCUUGCACUUGUCCUUGGAUUUUUCUUCAGUGGAUGACUGGGCAAUUGGGAGAAUGGGGGGCAAACUGACGUUCUUGCCUCCAAGCUCCCUCUUGCACUUGUCCGUGGAUUUGUCUUCAGUGGAUGACUGGUGAAUUGGGAGAAUGGGGGUCCAACUGACGUUCUUGCCUCCAAGCUCCCUCUUGCACUUGUCCGUGGAUUUGUCUUCAGUGGAUGACUGGUGAAUUGGGAGAAUGGGGGUCCAACUGACGUUCUUGCCUCCAAGCUCCCUCUUGCACUUGUCCGUGGAUUUGUCUUCAGUGGAUGACUGGUGAAUUGGGAGAAUGGGGGUCCAACUGACGUUCUUGCCUCCAAGCUCCCUCUUGCACUUGUCCCUGGAUUUGUCUUCGGUGGAUGACUGGUGAAUUGGGAGAAUGGGGGUCCAACUGACGUUCUUGCCUCCAAGCUCCCUCUUGCACUUGUCCGUGGAUUUGUCUUCAGUGGAUGACUGGUGAAUUGGGAGAAUGGGGGUCCAACUGACGUUCUUGCCUCCAAGCUCCCUCUUGCACUUGUCCCUGGAUUUGUCUUCAGUG
ensembl:lncRNA